rnacentral:rRNA from 1 species
UAAGCAUAUCAAUAAGCGGAGGAAAAGAAACCAACAGGGAUUGCCCUAGUAACGGCGAGUGAAGCGGCAACAGCUCAAAUUUGAAAUCUGGCUCUUUUAGGGUCCGAGUUGUAAUUUGCAGAGGGCGCUUUGGCUUUGGUAGCGGUCCAAGUUCCUUGGAACAGGACGUCACAGAGGGUGAGAAUCCCGUACGUGGUCGCUAGCUAUUGCCGUGUAAAGCCCCUUCGACGAGUCGAGUUGUUUGGGAAUGCAGCUCUAAAUGGGAGGUAAAUUUCUUCUAAAGCUAAAUAUUGGCCAGAGACCGAUAGCGCACAAGUAGAGUGAUCGAAAGAUGAAAAGCACUUUGGAAAGAGAGUCAAACAGCACGUGAAAUUGUUGAAAGGGAAGCGCUUGCAGCCAGACUUGCUUGCAGUUGCUCAUCCGGGCUUUUGCCCGGUGCACUCUUCUGUAGGCAGGCCAGCAUCAGUUUGGGCGGUGGGAUAAAGGUCUCUGACACGUUCCUUCCUUCGGGUUGGCCAUAUAGGGGAGACGUCAUACCACCAGCCUGGACUGAGGUCCGCGCAUCUGCUAGGAUGCUGGCGUAAUGGCUGUAAGCGGCCCGUCUUGAAACACGGACCAAGGAGUCUAACAUCUAUGCGAGUGUUUGGGUGUCAAGCCCGAGCGCGUAAUGAAAGUGAACGGAGGUGGGAACCCGCAAGGGCGCACCAUCGACCGAUCCUGAAGUUUACGGAAGGAUUUGAGUAAGAGCAUGGCUGUUGGGACCCGAAAGAUGGUGAACUAUGCUUGAAUAGGGUGAAGCCAGAGGAAACUCUGGUGGAGGCUCGCAGCGGUUCUGACGUGCAAAUCGAUCGUCAAAUUUGGGCAUAGGGGCGAAAGACUAAUCGAACUAUCUAGUAGCUGGUUCCUGCGA